rnacentral:rRNA from 1 species
AGACCCGAAACCCGGUGAUCUAGCCAUGGGCAGGUUGAAGGUUGGGUAACACUAACUGGAGGACCGAACCGACUAAUGUUGAAAAAUUAGCGGAUGACCUGUGGCUGGGGGUGAAAGGCCAAUCAAACCGGGAGAUAGCUGGUUCUCCCCGAAAGCUAUUUAGGUAGCGCCUCGUGAAUUCAUCUCCGGGGGUAGAGCACUGUUUCGGCUAGGGGGCCAUCCCGGCUUACCAACCCGAUGCAAACUGCGAAUACCGGAGAAUGUUAUCACGGGAGACACACGGCGGGUGCUAACGUCCGUCGUGAAGAGGGAAACAACCCAGACCGCCAGCUAAGGUCCCAAAGUCAUGGUUAAGUGGGAAACGAUGUGGGAAGGCCCAGACAGCCAGGAUGUUGGCUUAGAAGCAGCCAUCAUUUAAAGAAAGCGUAAUAGCUCACUGGUCGAGUCGGCCUGCGCGGAAGAUGUAACGGGGCUAAACCAUGCACCGAAGCUGCGGCAGCGACACUCAGGUGUUGUUGGGUAGGGGAGCGUUCUGUAAGCCUGUGAAGGUGGCCUGUGAGGGUUGCUGGAGGUAUCAGAAGUGCGAAUGCUGACAUAAGUAACGAUAAAGCGGGUGAAAAGCCCGCUCGCCGGAAGACCAAGGGUUCCUGUCCAACGUUAAUCGGGGCAGGGUGAGUCGACCCCUAAGGCGAGGCCGAAAGGCGUAGUCGAUGGGAAACGGGUUAAUAUUCCCGUACUUGGUGUUACUGCGAAGGGGGGACGGAG